rnacentral:rRNA from 1 species
GAUGAACGCUGGCGGCGUGCCUAAUACAUGCAAGUCGAGCGAACAGACGAGGAGCUUGCUCCUUUGACGUUAGCGGCGGACGGGUGAGUAACACGUGGGUAACCUACCUAUAAGACUGGGAUAACUUCGGGAAACCGGAGCUAAUACCGGAUAAUAUUUCGAACCGCAUGGUUCGAUAGUGAAAGAUGGCUUUGCUAUCACUUAUAGAUGGACCUGCGCCGUAUUAGCUAGUUGGUAAGGUAACGGCUUACCAAGGCAACGAUACGUAGCCGACCUGAGAGGGUGAUCGGCCACACUGGAACUGAGACGCGGUCCAGACUCCUACGGGAGGCAGCAGUAGGGAAUCUUCCGCGAUGGGCGAAAGCCUGACGGAGCAACGCCGCGUGAGUGAUGAAGGUCUUCGGAUCGUAAAACUCUGUUAUUAGGGAAGAACAAACGUGUAAGUAACUGUGCACGUCUUGACGGUACCUAAUCAGAAAGCCACGGCUAACUACGUG